rnacentral:rRNA from 1 species
GACGAACGCUGGCGGCGUGCUUAACACAUGCAAGUCGAACGGUAAGGCCCUUCGGGGUACACGAGUGGCGAACGGGUGAGUAACACGUGGGUGAUCUGCCCUGCACUUCGGGAUAAGCCUGGGAAACUGGGUCUAAUACCGGAUAGGACUCCGGACUGCAUGGUCUGGGGUGGAAAGCUUUUGCGGUGUGGGAUGGGCCCGCGGCCUAUCAGCUGGUUGGUGGGGUGAUGGCCUACCAAGGCGACGACGGGUAGCCGGCCUGAGAGGGUGACCGGCCACACUGGGACUGAGAUACGGCCCAGACUCCUACGGGAGGCAGCAGUGGGGAAUAUUGCACAAUGGGCGCAAGCCUGAUGCAGCGACGCCGCGUGAGGGAUGACGGCCUUCGGGUUGUAAACCUCUUUCAGCACAGACGAAGCGCAAGUGACGAUAUGUGCAGAGGAAGGACCGGCCAACUACGUGCCAGCAGCCGCCGUAA